rnacentral:misc_RNA from 1 species
GCACUUUGUAAUGUUUUAUUUUUUUUAUUAUAAACACUAAUUUAAAAUAAUAAAAGAGUUUAGUUGAUGACAUUAAUAAAAUACACAUUAUACACAAAGAUAUUUAUGGAGCAAAGUAGCCUAGUUUGGCUUGGUCGCGUGAAGGCAUUACUCACCUAGUAGAGUCUGAUUUAAGUUCCUGCUUCCCCAAUCUCCUUCUAAAAAAAAUAGUUUCCAUAAUCAUUUUUUUAAGAACAAAGAAAUGCAUGAAAACACAUUUGAGGAAAUUUAAACCAACGAACAUAUUAGUAAUCAUGCAUAGACUAAGAAAAAUAAGAUUGAUUGCUCUAAUAUCAAUGUAGGAAUGUAAAAUAUGGAUUAAAGGCUUAAAAUGCAUAAACCUAGCUUAAUCCAAUUUUGCAUCAUUAGCAUCUAACAUGGUUAUAAUGUAGGAAAUUUCUUACUUACAUCAAGGUAUAUAAAUACCCAAGUAAUAAGAAACCAUCUAUAUGUUUUUUUUAAGUGAGACCUACCAUGAUUUUAUCUAAAACAAUAAUUGUUAAUUGAUUGGGUGUAUGUGCUCGGGUAUAGAUAAUAAUUACUCUAUAAUGCAGAAGCACAAAUCAUCUUAAUACCUCUACAGCAGUGAUAAUCUAAAGAAUGGAGAGAGAGAGAGAGAGAGA